GACGAACGCUGGCGGCGUGCUUAACACAUGCAAGUCGAACGGGCCUUGUCCCCUUUUUUUUUGGGGGUGGGGUUAGUGGCGAACGGGUGAGUAACACGUUAGUAACCUGCCCCUCACUUCUGGAUAACCGCUUGAAAGGGUGGCUAAUACGGGGUGUUCUGGCCUGCUCGCAUGGGUGGGUUUGGAAAGAUUCGACCGGUUUUGGUUGUUUUGGUGGGGGAUGGGCUCGCGGCCUAUCAGCUUGUUGGUGGGGUGAUGGCCUGCCAAGGCUUUGACGGGUAGCCGGCCUGAGAGGGUGGGCGGUCACACUGGGACUGAGACACGGCCCAGACUCCUACGGGAGGCAGCAGUGGGGAAUAUUGCACAAUGGGCGCAAGCCUGAUGCAGCGACGCCGCGUGAGGGAUGGAGGCCUUCGGGUUGUGAACCUCUUUCGCCAGUGAAGAAGGUCCUGCUCUUUGUGGUGGGGUUGACGGUAGCUGGGUUAAUGAAGCGCCGGCUAACUACGUG
rnacentral:rRNA from 1 species